rnacentral:rRNA from 1 species
CCGGCGGCUGCUGAUUCUUUGCUUUUGUGAGGAUUAUGGCUUAUAUUAUUUAUAGUCGCAAUAGUUAGGUUAAAUUUUUUUGUGACAGUGUGUGGUAAAUAAGUUUUGUUAUGAUAUAUAUGAUGACAGGGAUUAGAUACCCCAUUAAUGUAUUUUGUAAAGUUGUUCUAGUUUUGUAACUAAAAUGGUUUGGCAGUGAGCGAUUCUUAUUAGGGGAAUAUGCAUAGUGAAGGAUGGUCCACCUAUUAAUUUACUCUUUUUAUGUUGGUGUAUGUCUGGUUUGAUAUUAUUGUUGAAUAAUUUAAGUUUGUGUAGUUUUAGUUAAGCUAAGUCUAUGUGCUGCUUAUUGGAGUUUUUGUGUGUUACAUUAAUAAGGGUGUUAUUGUAAGAUGAUGUGAUUUAGGACUUAAUAGUAAUGUUAAAUGAGUUUGUUGAUGUGAAGAGAGUUUAGCUCUGUUCCCACCCCGGAGA